rnacentral:lncRNA from 1 species
CGGGAACCUAGCGGCGGGGAGGAAGCGCGGAGCUGUGUUUUGAAUUAAUGGGUUCAGCUUCAUUUUGAGUACAAGUGGGAGGCUAUUUUAGAAAAACCUUCCCAGGCCAGCCGGCACUGAUGUGGCAAACUCAGCCUCCGAGCAGACAGUCUCGAAAUAGAAACGUCUCCGCGUCUCGAUGGCGCACGCCUGGGCCUCCCCUUCAAAGAGCGCGGCCCCGCACGACCCUUUUGUCCCUAGGCCCCGCAGCCCUUUGUGAUGUGCCCGCCUCGCUCCCAACCGAGCUGGAUGGAGGCGUCCCAUCCGCAGCAGCUGAAAGGAGGUGCCCAGAGGGAGCGAGAUCCCCCGGAAACGUGAUAAGGGGAAGGAUGCGAGACGGCUGCGGUCGGUCGACAUGAGCGUCCAGCGCCUCGCUCCCCAGUCAUGCGUCACUUAACGACGAGGAUACUGCCUGAGAAAUGCGUCGAUAGGCCAUUUCGUCGCUGUGCGCACGUCAGAGUGACUUACACAAACCUAGAUGGUAUAGCCUACUACACACCAGGCUAUAUGGUACUAGUCUUAUGGGACCACGGUCAUAUAUGCAGUCCUUUGUUGACUGAAGCAUCAUUAUGCGGCCAGAGGAUCACAUAUUACUUCAGUGACUUUCAACACCAGAAAAAUCCAGAAAUUUAUAUAAAAAUUAUCAUUAUAUGCCUAGAGCCCUUGUCUUGCUGAUAGGGCUUUCUACAGCAAGUCUGAGGACAGAUUUCAGAGAAAAUCAAUCCAACUUUCAACCUAAGGAGGCCAGUGGUUGCAUCUCCUGUUACCUACUGAGCCCAAUAUCAAAUCCUAGAGAGUUGCACCCAGUCUUAGAUACAAUGCCUCUUUCCAAGCUGUUAAGGAUCUAGUUGCAGAGACAAGACAUAAAUGACUCUGCAUAGACUGACCAUAAAGGCCAUAUUUAAUACCAGGUUACAAAGACCGUUCAAAGUUAAUAACCAAAUGUACUAUGCCAAAAGACCUUUAUCCUUUUGUCAUGUUGUCCUAUUAUGUUGGACAAGAGAAUUUGAGAGGUUUUCCCUUGGAUCUACUGCCAUGGGGAAAAAAUAUUAUGCUUGCUAUUCACUUGGUGCAGUGGUUAAUUUUAUAUGUCAGUUUGACUGGGCUGAGUGAUGCCAAGAGGGCUGGUAAAACAUUAUAUCUGGGUGUGUCUGUAAAGGUAUUCGUAGAAGAGCUUAGCAUUUGAAUCGGGAGACGUGUAGAAGAUGGCCCUCACCAACAGGGUGGGCAUCAUUCCAUUCACUGAGGGCCUGACGAGAACAAAAAGGCAGAGAAAGGGCCAAUUGCUCUCUCUGCGUGAGCUGGGACGUCCAUGGUCUCCUGCCCUCAGACGUCAGUGCUCUUGAGUUUGAACUGGAUCCACACCAUCGUCUUUCCUGAGUCUCCAGCUUGCAAAUGGUAGAUCAUGGGACUUCUCAGACUCCAUAAUCUCGCGAGCCA